UAAUUGGAAGUGACUGUACUUAACUGGCACCAACCAAAAGAAUUACAUAGCUGAAGAAUGAACCAGAACUAGUUUCUUAUUUUGAAUGUCCUACUGGAUUUAUGCAGUGUAAACCAAAGUGAUAAUUUGAUGCUUGUAUUUGAUGACUUGCAGGAUAUUAGCCAUGACUGCUGGACCACUAAACUCAAGUUGCAGUGCAAGCAAAUAUCUUAUGUAAGUAAGGCAAGGUUAAUGCUUGUGGUUGCAAGUGAUUACUGCUGAUGAUGACCUAGUAUGCCAAUGCCUUCCAUUCUGGUUUAUGUGUUUCUCAAUGCUAUACUUACUCUACUAUCCACUCUGCUGUUAUUUGCAGGUCUAGCAUUUGCUUUGCACUUUGGUGUCAUGGCGUAACCUUCAUUGUGGACAACCCUCCAUUUUGAACUCAAUAUGUUGGCAAAUCCCGAUGUUGGUAAGGAUUCUGUUAGGUUGGAGUGGUCUUCUAGUAUAGCAGCUUGUAUCAUGAUCAACUCAACAUGUAAUGAACUAAAUGCAUGAUGAUAAUAAUAGGGAAGCUACUGCUAGCACCCUAACAAG
rnacentral:lncRNA from 1 species